ensembl:lncRNA
CUCAGACUUUUUGCUGAGAAAUACAACACUGCAGGAGUUCCACAUGGACAGUGAGAUCAAGUGCACUCUCAGCAAGUUUGCAGAUGACACCAAGGUGAAUGGUGCAGUUGACAUGCUAGAAGGAAAGGAUGUUAUCCAGAGGGACCUGGACAGGCUUGAGAGGUGGGCCCAUACCAAUCUCAUUAAAUUCAGCAGGGCCAAGUGCAAGAUCCUGCACCUGAAUGGGGAGCAAUCCCAAGCACAAAUACAGAUUGUGUGGAGAAUGGUUUGAGAGUAGCCCUGAGGAAAAGGGCUUGGGAGUGUUGGCUGAUGAAAGACUCAACAUGAGCUGGCAAUGUGCUCUUGUGGGGUUGCAUCAAGAGAAGUGUGGCCAGUAGGUCAAAGGAGGUGAUUCUGCCCCUCUGCUCUCAUGAGACCUUAACUGGAGCACUGCAUCCUAUUAUGAGGCCCCCAGCAUGAGAAGGACAUGGAGUUCUUGCAGUAGGUCCAGAAGAGGGCCAAGAAGAUGAUCAGAAGGAUAGAGCACCUCCCCUAUGAGGACAGGGAUUUACAAGUAGCAACAGUGCAGAACUGCUGUGCCAAGGUGUGGGGCCAAGGAUCUAGCAGAGAUUCACCUCUGCCUCUUCUCACCAAGUUCGCUGCAAGUUCAGGCCUAACCACGUGGGGAAGCACCUGUGAUCCUCUUGGGCGUUGGCUCCAGUGCUCCGUGCUUUGGAAUGGGCACCUUUCAUUUCUGAAAACAGCUUUCUAGCCCUAAUUUGUCUGCGAUCAACAUACCACAACACCAAUCAGUCCUGUGGCACAAAUGGAAGUAAAUUAUUACCUUGCUCACCGUACAGAAAGUAAGGAACUGAACUUCAUGACUGGUAAGGAAGAUCUGCCAAGACUGUGGGCUUGACCGUGUGCUUGUAGUUUGAAAUGGUGCCAGCUAAGUGCAUCUUCUGCACAUCUUCUAAAAGAAGCUUUUUGCUAAAUCUAAAGGAGUAUUGGGCAACAUGGAUCUAUUGAGCUUGGUCUUUACAAAGCAAUGUGGACAGCUAAACUGGAUAAAAAAGAUUCAGU